AUGGCCAAGUUGCUCGUCAUCCCAAUCAUCGUCAUCCUCCAUGUCGGCAUCAUCGUGCCGAUCGCUAUCCCCGCCGCCGCCGCCGCCAUGGCACAGGCACCAGGAGCAGCAGCGGCAGUACUGGCCGACGACCGGUCCGCGCUCCUCGAUUUCCUCUCCGGCGUCUCGGCCGACCCCGGCGGCGCCCUCGCCGACUGGGGCCGCUCGCCGCGGUUCUGCAACUGGACCGGCGUCGCGUGCGGUCGCGGCCCCGCCGACAGGCGGCGCGUCACGCAGCUGGUGCUCAGCGGCCGGGGGAUACACGGCGUGGUCUCGCCGGCGCUGGGGCGGCUGUCUUUUCUCACGGUGCUUGAUCUGUCCAGCAACGCGUUAGCCGGGGAGAUCCCGGAGGAGAUUGCCGCGCUGUCGAGGCUGACGCAGCUGAGCCUGACGAACAAUUUACUCGAGGGCGCGAUCCCCGCCGGCAUCGGGCUCCUCCAGGAGCUCUACUACCUCGACCUCAGCGGAAAUCGGCUCUCCGGCGGCAUCCCGGAGACGCUGUUCUGCAACUGCUCCGCCCUCCAGUACAUGGAUCUCGCCAACAACUCGCUCGCCGGCGACAUCCCCUACGCUGCCGAGUGCCGUCUCCCUAGCCUCCGGUACCUCCUCCUCUGGUCUAACGAACUGUCCGGCCCGAUCCCGCCGGCGCUGUCCAACUCCGCCAUUCUCGAGUGGGUCGACUUCGAGUCCAACUACCUGGCCGGCGAGCUGCCGUCGAAGGUGUUCGACAGGUUGCCGCGGCUCCAGUACCUCUACCUCUCCUACAACAACCUCUCCAGCCACGACAGCAACACCAACCUCGACCCAUUCUUCCACUCCCUGAGCAACUGCACUCGCCUGCAGGAGCUCGAGCUCGCCGGAAAUGGACUCGGUGGGAGGCUGCCGCCUUUCAUUGGCGAGCUCUCGCGCAGCUUCCGGCAGAUCCACCUCGAGGACAACGCCAUCUCGGGCUCCAUCCCGCCCAACAUCUCCGGCCUCGUCAACCUCACGUACCUCAACCUCUCCAAUAACCUCGUCAACGGCUCCAUCCCGCCGGACUUAUCGCGCAUGCGGCGGCUCGAGCAGCUAUACCUCUCCAACAACUUCCUCUCCGGCGAGAUCCCCCGGUCCAUCGGUGAGCUCCCGCACCUCGGCCUCCUCGACCUCUCCGGCAACCGCCUCGCCGGCGCCAUCCCAGACACGUUCUCCAACCUCACGCAGCUCAGGAGGCUGAUGCUGCACCACAACUGCCUUGCCGGUGCCAUUCCGCCGAGCCUCGGCGAGUGCGACAACCUCGAAAUCCUCGACCUCUCCUACAAUGGCCUCCAGGGCGAGAUCCCGUCGCACGUCGCCGCCAUGAGCAACCUCAAGCUGUACCUGAACCUGUCCAACAACCACCUGGAGGGCUCUCUCCCUCUCGGGCUCAGCAAGAUGGACAUGAUCCUCGCUCUCGACUUGUCGUCCAACGAGCUUGCCGGCACGAUCCCGUCACAGCUCGGCGGCUGCGUCGCGCUCGAGUACCUCAACCUCUCCGGCAACGCGCUGCGGGGCACCCUCCCGGAAGCCGUCGCAGCGCUGCCGUUCCUGGAGGAGAUCGACGUGUCGAGGAACGUGCUCUCGGGUGCCCUGCCAGAGGCCCUGCAGGUGUCCACGUCGCUCCGGGAAGCGGACUUCUCGUACAACAACUUCUCCGGCGUGGUGCCCCGCGCCGGCGUGCUAGCGAACCUGUCCGCGGCUUCGUUCCGAGGCAACCCCAGUCUCUGCAGCGCCGGGCAUAUCCCGGGCAUUGCGACGUGCGGCGCGAGACGUGCCGAUCACCGGCGCGCUGUGGUCCCCGCCGCGUUCGGCAUCGUCGCGGCCGUGUGCAUGAUGCUGUGCGCGGCCGGGUGCCGGUCGAUGGCGACGGCGAGAGCGAGGCGGUGGUCGACGUGGCGCGUGGACAUCGAGGAGCAGGCGUCGGAGAGGGAGCACCCGAGGAUAUCCUACAGGGAGCUCUCGGAGGCCACGGAUGGCUUCGCAGAGUCUCGACUGAUCGGCGCCGGGCGGUUCGGGCGCGUCUACGAGGGGACGCUCCGCGGCAGCGCACGUGUGGCCGUAAAGGUGCUCGCGGACCCGAAGGGCGGCGGCGAGGUCUCCGUCAGCUUCAAGCGCGAGUGCGAGGCGCUCCGGCGGACGCGGCACAAGAACCUCAUCCGGGUGAUCACCACCUGCAGCACGGCCAGCUUCAACGCGCUGGUGCUGCCGCUCAUGCCGCACGGCAGCCUCGAGGCGCACCUCUACCCGCACGACGACAGCGGCGGCGGCGGCAGCAGACUAGGCUUCCGGCAGCUCGUGGGCAUCGCGAGCGACGUGGCCGAGGGGAUGGCCUACCUGCACCACUACGCGCCGGUGAGGGUCGUGCACUGCGACCUCAAGCCGAGCAACGUCCUCCUCGACGAGGGGAUGCGCGCCGUGAUCUCGGACUUCGGCAUCGCGCGGCUCCUCGCCGGCGCCGAAGCCAGCAGCAGCAGCACGAGCAGCGACGACUCCGCCGCUCCGUGCAACUCCAUCGCCACCGGGCUGUUGCAGGGUUCAGUUGGCUACAUUGCACCUGAGUACGGAUUAGGAGGGCACCCGUCGGCGCGGGGCGACGUGUACAGCUUCGGCGUGCUGAUCCUGGAGCUGCUCACCGGGAAGCGGCCGACGGACGUGAUCUUCGACGAGGGGCUGACGCUGCAUGACUGGGUCAGGCGGCACUACCCGCACGACGUCGCCGCCGCCGUCGCCCAUGCGCCGUGGCGGCAGGGAGGCGCGGUGGCCGACAUGGCGGUCGUGGAGCUGAUCGAGCUCGGGCUGGCGUGCACGCAGCAUUCGCCGGCGCUGCGGCCCACCAUGGCGGACGUCUGCCACGACAUCACCAUGAUAAAGGACGGCCUGGCCAAGCACGCCGGCGCCGACGACGGUGACCGGUCGUUCUCCACGGUCAAGGACUCGCUCUUCUCCAACUCAAGUUAA
rnacentral:rRNA from 1 species